ensembl:snRNA U2 U2 spliceosomal RNA
AUCGCUUCUUGUACUUUUGGCUAAGAUCAAGUGUUCAUAUUAAUUUAAUAUCUGAUACAUCCUCAGUGAGAGGACUAUAUAUUAAAUGGAUUUUGGGGUCAGCAGUUGGACCCAGAGCUUGCUCCCUCCAUUCCAUGCAUCGUCCCAGUAAGGAAGUGCCUCCAGGCAUGGUGCACACUUG